UUAAGCUAAAAAGAGCGCAGGGCGGAUGCCUUGGCACUGAGAGCCGAUGAAAGACGUGAUAAGCUGCGAAAAGCUGCGGGGAGUGGCAAAUACACAUUGAUCCGCAGAUAUCUGAAUGGGGGAACCCACAUAAGGAAACCUUAUGUACCGUUUACUGAACAGGCGUAAGCUGAAUAGGUAAACGGAGGGAACCCGGUGAACUGAAACAUCUAAGUAGCCGGAGGAAAAGAAAGAAAAAUCGAUUUCCAAAGUAGCGGCGAGCGAAAUGGAAGGAGCCCAAACCGGGAUGCGUGCAUUCCGGGGUUAUGGACCGCAAGAAGUGACCCGUAAGAUAGAAGAAUGGCAUUGGGAAAGCCAGCCACAGAGGGUGAAAGCCCCGUAUUCGAAAUCAGAAGGGAGCGAGCGGAAUCCGAAGUACUACGAGACACGUGGAACCUUGUAGGAAAUCGGGGGGACCACCCCCCAAGGCUAAAUACUCCUUAGUGACCGAUAGCGCAUAGUACUGUGAAGGAACGGUGAAAAGAACCCCGGGAGGGGAGUGAAAGAGAACCUGAAACCCUGUGUUUACAAGCUGUGGAAGAGCUUUACAUGCUCAACCGCGUACUUUUUGUAGAACGGUCCGGCGAGUUACUCUUACUGGCAAGGUUAAGCACCAAAGGUGUGGAGCCGAAGGGAAACCAAGUCUUAACAGGGCGAGUUAGUCAGUGUGAGUAGACCCGAAACCGGGUGACCUACCCAUGUCCAGGAUGAAGUUGCCGUAAAAGGCAAUGGAGGUCCGAACACACAUCCGUUGAAAAGGGUGGUGAUGAGGUGUGGGUAGCGGAGAAAUUCCAAUCGAACCCGGAGAUAGCUGGUUCUCCUCGAAAUAGCUUUAGGGCUAGCCUCAAUUUAGUCUUGCGGAGGUAGAGCACUGAAUAUCCUAGGGGGCGUCAAAGCUUACCGAAGAUUAUCAAACUCCGAAUGCCGUAAAGAUGAUGAUUGGGAGUCAGACUGCACGAGAUAAGUUGGGUAGUCAAAAGGGAAACAGCCCAGACCUCCAGCUAAGGUCCCAAAGUGAGUGUUAAGUGGAAAAGGAUGUGGGAUUUCGAAGACAACUAGGAUGUUGGCUCAGAAGCAGCCAUUCAUUCAAAGAGUGCGUAAUAGCUCACUAGUCGAGAGGUCCUGCGCCGAAAAUGUCCGGGGCUAAACACUACACCGAAGCUGAGGAAUGACAAUGUCAUUGGUAGAGGAGCAUUCUUAACUGCGACGAAGCUGUACCGAAAGGAGCAGUGGAGUGUUAAGAAGAGAGAAUGCCGGAAUGAGUAGCGAGAGUGAGGUGAGAAUCCUCACGGCCGAAUAUCUAAGGUUUCCAGGGUAAAGCUGAUCUGCCCUGGGUAAGUCGGGACCUAAGGCGAGGUCGAAAGACGUAGUCGAUGGACAACAGGUUGAAAUUCCUGUACUGCAAUGUAUCAGAAAUGUGGGGACACAGACAGAGAGCCGGAGCCGGGAAUGGAGAAACCGGUGCAAGCGAGGUAGGAGAACAGCAGGCAAAUCCGCUGUUCAAUCCAAAGACGUGACGCGGAGCGAAAUUAAAGUAGCGAAGCCGGUGAGCUGGCUGUCAGGAAAAGCCGCUAUUGUGUACAUUGUACCCGUACCGUAAACCGACACAGGUGGAUGAGGAGAGAAUCCUAAGGCCGACGGAAGAAGCAUUGUUAAGGAACUCGGCAAAAUGGCCCCGUAACUUCGGGAUAAGGGGUGCCUACGAAGGUAGGCCGCAGAGAAUUGGCCCAAGCAACUGUUUAGCAAAAACACAGGUCUAUGCGAAACCGUAAGGUGAUGUAUAUGGGCUGACGCCUGCCCGGUGCUGGAAGGUUAAGGGGAGAGGUUAGACUUAAGUCGAAGCCUUGAACUUAAGCCCCAGUAAACGGCGGCCGUAACUAUAACGGUCCUAAGGUAGCGAAAUUCCUUGUCGGGUAAGUUC
rnacentral:rRNA from 1 species